GUUAUUGUAGCUUAAUUUUACAAAGCACGGCACUGAAAAUGCCGCGAUGGGCCACCAAAAAAGCCCCAAAAACA
rnacentral:tRNA from 1 species